GCGGCCGUAGCUCAGCGGGAGAGCGCCCGGCUGAAGACCGGGCGGGCCCGGGUUCAAAUCCCGGCGGCCGCACCA
rnacentral:tRNA from 2 species